rnacentral:tRNA from 1 species
UAGAAUUUGGUGUACUUGGGAGCACGAAGAGUUUUGGGUUCUUAGGAGUAGGUUCGAUCCCUAUAAUUCUAG